rnacentral:rRNA from 1 species
CAGCAGCCACGGUAAUACAGAGGGUGCAAGCGUUAAUCGGAAUUACUGGGCGUAAAGCGCGCGUAGGUGGUUUGUUAAGUUGGAUGUGAAAGCCCCGGGCUCAACCUGGGAACUGCAUCCAAAACUGGCAAGCUAGAGUACGGUAGAGGGUGGUGGAAUUUCCUGUGUAGCGGUGAAAUGCGUAGAUAUAGGAAGGAACACCAGUGGCGAAGGCGACCACCUGGACUGAUACUGACACUGAGGUGCGAAAGCGUGGGGAGCAAACAGGAUUAGAUACCCCCGUAGUCCCUGUCUCUUAUAC